UGCUGACAACGAGCUUUGGUUAAGGUUAAACAAAUCAAACCGCGACCAUAGCGAGCCAUGAAGUUAAUGGCCUCAGGCGUGACAUGAUCCGCUGCAAUAAUU
rnacentral:antisense_RNA from 1 species